AUUGAACGCUGGCGGAAUGCUUUACACAUGCAAGUCGAACGGCAGCACGGACUUCGGUCUGGUGGCGAGUGGCGUACGGGUGAGUAAUGUAUCGGAACGUGCCCAGUCGUGGGGGAUAACGUAGUGAAAAUUACGCUAAUACCGCAUACGAUCUAUGGAUGAAAGCGGGGGAUCGCAAGACCUCGCGCGAUUGGAGCGGCCGAUAUCAGAUUAGGUAGUUGGUGGGGUAAAGGCCCACCAAGCCAACGAUCUGUAGCUGGUCUGAGAGGACGACCAGCCACACUGGAACUGAGACACGGUCCAGACUCCUACGGGAGGCAGCAGUGGGGAAUUUUGGACAAUGGGCGAAAGCCUGAUCCAGCCAUUCCGCGUGCAGGAUGAAGGCCCUCGGGUUGUAAACUGCUUUUAUACAGAACGAAAAGGUUUCUACUAAUACUAGGAGCUCAUGACGGUACUGUAAGAAUAAGCACCGGCUAACUACGUUACAGCCGCCGCCGUAA
rnacentral:rRNA from 1 species